UGCAACCCGACUACAUGAAGCUGGAAUCGCUAGUAAUCGCGAAUCAGAAUGUCGCGGUGAAUACGUUCCCGGGUCUUGUACACACCGCCCGUCACACCAUGGGAGUCGGAAAUGCCCGAAGUCAGUGACCCAACCACAACGUGAACUUCGUUCGCGUGGAGGGAGCUGCCGAAGGUGGAGCCGGUAACUGGGGUGAAGUCGUAACAAGGUACC
rnacentral:rRNA from 1 species